GGAUACGAUCAUACCAGCACUAACGCAAGGGAUCCCAUUAGAAUUCCGAAGUCAAGCUUGCUUGGGCAAGUGUAACGACCCGACCGGUCGUUUUGAGCU
rnacentral:rRNA from 1 species